UACAGAGGUCCCAAGCGUUGUUCGGAUUCACUGGGCGUAAAGGGUGCGUAGGCGGUCGGGUAAGUCUGAUGUGAAAUCUCACAGCUUAACUGUGAAACUGCAUUGGAUACUAUCCGGCUAGAGGAAUGGAGGGGAGACUGGAAUACUUGGUGUAGCGGUGAAAUGCGUAGAUAUCAAGAGGAACACCCGUGGCUAAGGCGGCUCUCUAGUACGGUACUGACGCUGAGACGCGAAAGCGUGGGGAGCGAACAGG
rnacentral:rRNA from 1 species